rnacentral:lncRNA from 1 species
AGAGACGAAACUCAUGCAUGUUCGGCGGCACUUUCGGCGGCCGAAACUGCCAGACAGAGACAAAAGUCUCCUUUCGGGGGCAAGCUUCGGCAGCCGAAAGGCUGCUUCCCCAGCCAUGUUCGGCGGCCGAAAGUCCUUCGGCUGCCGAACCUGGUUUCUGCCAAAGGGCAGAAACUUGGCUCCCAAUGCACAUUUCGUCUCCAAACUUAUCAAACAUGCAUCAAACCUAUUCUACAACACACAAACACAAGCAUACAUGUUCCUAGGGGUCUCAAACCAUCAUAAACCCCAUCUACAACACAUCAAGCAACUCACAUUGUUCAUGAACAUACAUUUAUACCCAUAAAC